GACGAACGCUGGCGGCGUGCCUAAUACAUGCAAGUCGAGCGGACCAAAGGGAGCUUGCUCCUGGAGGUUAGCGGCGAACGGGUGAGUAACACGUGGGCAACCUGCCUGUAAGACUGGGAUAACAUCGAGAAAUCGGUGCUAAUACCGGAUAAUAAAAAGAACUGCAUGGUUCUUUUUGAAAGAUGGUUUCGGCUAUCACUUACAGAUGGGCCCGCGGCGCAUUAGCUAGUUGGUGAGGUAACGGCUCACCAAGGCGACGAUGCGUAGCCGACCUGAGAGGGUGAUCGGCCACACUGGGACUGAGACACGGCCCAGACUCCUACGGGAGGCAGCAGUAGGGAAUCUUCCGGCAAUGGACGAAAGUCUGACGGAGCAACGCCGCGUGAGUGAUGAAGGUUUUCGGAUCGUAAAACUCUGUUGUUAGGGAAGAACAAGUGCCGUUCGAAAGGGCGGCACCUUGACGGUACCUAACGAGAAAGCCACGGCCAACUACGUGCCAGCAG
rnacentral:rRNA from 1 species